UACGUAGGGGGCAAGCGUUGUCCGGAUUUAUUGGGCGUAAAGCGCGUGUAGGCGGCCAGGUAGGUCCGCUGUGAAAGUCGGGGGCUCAACCCUCGAAUGCCGGUGGAUACUGUCGGGCUAGAGUGCGGAAGAGGCGAGUGGAAUUCCUGGGUGAUAGCGGUGAAAUGCGCAGAUAUCAGGAGGAACACCAAUUGCGAAGGCGGCUCGCUGGGCCAUUCGUGACGUGGAGACGCGAAAGCUAGGGGGAGCGAAACAGG
rnacentral:rRNA from 1 species